rnacentral:miRNA from 14 species
UUUCCAGGGGAGGUGGUGUGGUCUCAGUGGGGUCCGGAGUCGGCUGAAGCGUUCUACAACAUGGCUACUAUUCCCUUCCCAG